UACAGAGACCUCAAACGUUAUCCGGAUUUAUUGGGCGUAAAGCGCUAAAAGGCGGUCUAGAAAGUUGGGCAUUAAAGCCCAGGGCUCAACCCUGGAUCUAUGCCCAAAACUCCUAGACUAGAGGGUGGGAGAGGCAAGCAGAAUGGCUAGUGUAGCAGUAAAAUGCGUUAAUAUUAGCCAGAAUACCAAUGGCGAAGGCAGCUUGCUGGAACACACCUGACGCUAAAUAGCGAAAGCGUGGGGAGCGAAUGGG
rnacentral:rRNA from 1 species